rnacentral:rRNA from 1 species
UACGUAGGGGGCAAGCGUUGUCCGGAAUUAUUGGGCGUAAAGAGCGUGUAGGCGGUCCGGUAAGUCAGCUGUGAAAGUCAAGGGCUCAACCCUUGAAUGCCGGUUGAUACUGUCGGGCUGAGUCCGGAAGAGGCGAGUGGAAUUCCCGGUGUAGCGGUGAAAUGCGCAGAUAUCGGGAGGAACACCGGUGGCGAAGGCGGGCUCUAGGCCGACACUGACGCUGACGAAGCGAAAGCGUGGGGAGCGAACAGG